rnacentral:piRNA from 1 species
CAUGAUGUGAUGUUUGUGCUAACACUGA